GCAGAAGCCCCAGCUAAGGCAAUAACAACCCAUUUUCAUCUGUCGGGGAGCGAUGUCACUUUCAACAGCCUACACAGUACUGACAACCCUGGCCUAAACCCCCACAGGAGAAAGCCUAAGACAACAGUGGCAAGG